rnacentral:rRNA from 1 species
UACGGAGGAUCCUAGCGUUAUCCGGAUUUACUGGGUUUAAAGGGUGCGUAGGCGGGCGCUUAAGUCCGCGGUGAAAGUCUGCGGCUCAACCGUAGGAUUGCCGUGGAUACUGGGCGCCUUGGAUUCGGUCGGGGCGGGCGGAAUGCGUGGUGUAGCGGUGAAAUGCAUAGAUAUCACGCAGAACGCCGAUAGCGAAGGCAGCUCGCCGGGCCGAUAUCGACGCUGAUGCACGAAAGCGUGGGGAUCAAACAGG